UGUGAAGGCAUAGAGCCUUCACUUUUGUACACCGUAAGGUGGUGCACGAAUAAGGACUGGGCAAGACCGGUGCCAGCCGCCGCGGUAAUACCGGCAGUCCGAGUGAUGGCCGAUCUUAUUGGGCCUAAAGCGUCCGUAGCUGGCUGAACAAGUCCGUUGGGAAAUCUGUCCGCUUAACGGGCAGGCGUCCAGCGGAAACUGUUCAGCUUGGGACCGGAAGACCUGAGGGGUACGUCUGGGGUAGGAGUGAAAUCCUGUAAUCCUGGACGGACCGCCGGUGGCGAAAGCGCCUCAGGAGAACGGAUCCGACAGUGAGGGACGAAAGCUAGGGUCUCGAACCGGAUU
rnacentral:rRNA from 1 species